rnacentral:lncRNA from 1 species
UGCGAAAAGUAUUUAAAAACACAAGGAAAGGGGUUGCAUGCACUGGGGCUUGCCUGGGAUAAACACUAGGUUAGUGUUGUUAGACGACUGCUUGACGACCAUCCUUGUCCUAGCACUUGAUCGGCAGGUUCGUCUAUUAGCACCACCAUGCGGAGUAGCCCGCGCUUGAGGUCAACUUGGUUCGUCUUUCGCAUCGCGCGAUUAAUAAGCGUACCUAAAUGAUUUGCAUAAUGCACAUGAAUGCAUAGCACUGACUUCAUUCCACAACUAAAAUUCC